rnacentral:rRNA from 1 species
CCUACGGGAGGCUGCAGUAGGGAAUAUUGCUCAAUGGGGGAAACCCUGAAGCAGCAACGCCGCGUGGAGGAUGACGGUUUUCGGAUUGUAAACUCCUUUUGUUAGAGAAGAUAAUGACGGUAUCUAACGAAUAAGCACCGGCUAACUCCGUGCCAGCAGCCGCGGUAAUACGGAGGGUGCAAGAGUUACUCGGAAUCACUGGGCGUAAAGAGAGCGUAGGCGGGAUAGCAAGUCAGAUGUGAAAUCCUAUGGCUUAACCAUAGAACUACAUUUGAAACUGUUAUUCUAGAGUAUGGGAGAGGUAGGUGGAAUUCUUGGUGUAGGGGUAAAAUCCGUAGAGAUCAAGAGGAAUACUCAUUGCGAAGGCGACCUGCUAGAACAUAACUGACGCUGAUGCGCGAAAGCGUGGGGAGCAAACAGGAUUAGAUACCCGAGUAGUC